GACGAACGCUGGCGGCGUGCUUAACACAUGCAAGUCGAACGGAAAGGCCCUGCUUUUGUGGGGUGCUCGAGUGGCGAACGGGGGAGUAACAAGGGAGUAACCUGCCCUUGACUUUGGGAUAAAUUCAGGAAAAUGGGGCUAAUACCGGAUAGGAGCUCCUGCUGCAUGGUGGGGGGUGGAAAGUUUCGGCGGUUGGGGACGGACUCGGGGCUUAUCAGCUUGUUGGUGGGGUAGUGGCUUACCAAGGCUUUGACGGGUAGCCGGCCUGAGAGGGUGACCGGCCACAUUGGGACUGAGAUACGGCCCAGACUCCUACGGGAGGCAGCAGUGGGGAAUAUUGCACAAUGGGCGGAAGCCUGAUGCAGCAACGCCGCGUGCGGGAUGACGGCCUUCGGGUUGUAAACCGCUUUCGCCUGUGACGAAGCGUGAGUGACGGUAAUGGGUAAAGAAGCACCGGCUAACUACGUG
rnacentral:rRNA from 1 species